UAGAGCCGAUCCACACGUCUCCCUAAUCCUCUCCCCACACAAACAUUAUCUUCAUCCCACACGUCACCCUCUCUUCUUGAGAGCAUGCCGCCCCAUCUCCUUUCCCCCAUGGCACCCAUCUCUUCCCUGCUGCUUCUCCUGGCCGAGCUGCUCCACCAUCCGCUGCUGCUCCAAAACUCAGUGCCGACCACCAUCUCCCAUGGCGCAGGAGCUCCCCAUCCUCCUCUUGCCAGGGCGCCGUUGCUGAGCUCGCCCUGCCCCCAGCCAUGGACGUCGUCAGGCCACCUGUUUCCUAUCUUCCAUGGACGCCAAUAGCAGCAGCCCACUCCUUUUGUUCUCCAUGGAUGAAAGCCCAAGCAUCUGCGCCUCCCCUAGGUUUUUGUACAAUCGCAGCAGCACGUCGGACCUUUGCAACCCCGGUGAGACCAGCUGCUUGCGCUAUGUUUAUUCCCCACCAAUUCCUAUAUUUGAUUAUUUACUGUGUAUGUUUGUGUGUUUGUGGUGGAGGUAAAUCCUAGGAAAUUUAGAUGAGAAGAAAGCUUUAGCGAGACGCUUGCCAAGUGCUUGGUGAAUCGCCUCAACCGGAUGUGGUUGUCGAUCUCGCGGAGUCGAGUCGAGUUUAGUCGUGGUACGUUAAUUAAUCACGUGAUGUGAAGGACAAGAGCUGGAUUAAUCACAAGACGAUGCUGAUGGACGAAGCUAAAGUGGAUGAAUCAACCAAGUGCCAGGAUGGGAGAUACUCACCAAGUGAUCGUCAUUUAACAACACUAACAUAGUGUUAUCCCAGGCAAGCCCCGGUGCAUUUGCCACCUCCUUCUGUUUUAAAAACUUUUAUCACUUACCUGCUGCAUUAGGUGAUAGGAGUUGUGUGAAUAAACAAUUGAUGCAUUACCAUUCCUUGGAAUUUGAUUAUCCUCCUUGCUACCUGUUUUAUAAAGAGAACUAAUGAGGCUUAGCCCUGCCUAGAGAACUAAAACUUGAUUCUUUUUAAAAGAAUGCUGUGUAACACUGGGUAUGGGUUUGUUUUAUGAAAAAGGACUUGUAAUGGUGAGAGCAUCAUCUGCAGUGAUGAAUUCAUCAUUCAAGUAUGGUACCUCUGUCAGGUACAUGGUUUUGGGAAGGAAAUAAUAAUAUGAGACCAGACGUUGAGCAGGAAAGGUCGCCCGUCUGUGUCGAUUAAGGACCGUACCGAAAGUAGGCUUGCUGAUCUAGGACCCUUUAACUGGCCACAUGCCUCGUCAUGGGUAAGCUUAGCCUCGGUCGGACCAAUACCAGAACAGCUCGCACGCACUGGGAGUGGAGAGAUGGCGAGAGUAGCUUGUACCCUCCGUGGCAAGAGACUGGAAGGUGGGGUGCUGUACUCUCGGAAACAUGGCGGGCACCAUGGCGAGAGUAAAGUGUACCAACCAGGCCAAUGGCUGGACGGUGGAGUACUGUACUCUCGGGUCGCGUGAACCUAUUCUGGUCUUGAGAAACCUGUGGGCGAGUUGACAUAUGCAAGGGUUAAGUGCUACAUAUGUCGUGUGGU